rnacentral:tRNA from 1 species
GCCGAUAUAGCUCAGUUGGCAGAGCGACGCAUUCGUAACGCGUAGGUCCCCAGUUCAAGUCUGGGUAUCGGCUCCA